AUGUUGUUGGUUGCAUAUUUAAGCUCUGUUUCCUAAUUUUUUCUUUGUUUCAGAAACCUAAUUUGGUUGAGUAGUCACCUCUCCUCAACACAGAUCAAAUUCUUGCUUGGGAACUGACACCAGCCUAACUCCUGCAGAGAUCUUGGUAAACUGAACUGCCUCACCCACCUAAUUCCUGGUUGGAAAAUGCUGUGAAGUUUGAUAGAGAAGCUAGCAAGACUGAGUUGGAGAAGAGGAAAGCAUUAGCACUCAUAGUGCUCAAAGUCAUCUGCUCUAGUUCACCCGAGAGUCUACAGUCUUCCAGCAAAACAACCUGCAAGCCAGAUAAUCAAUGGUACUAAUAAUUCCAGUACCCCAUAAAACUUAAGAUAAUUCCACAGUUUUAUGUUGGCUUAGGAGAGAAGAACUUAAAGGAGAGAGCUAUAUUUUGAUUAGUGGCACAAGU
rnacentral:lncRNA from 1 species